rnacentral:rRNA from 1 species
UACGAAGGGGGCUAGCGUUGCUCGGAAUCACUGGGCGUAAAGCGCACGUAGGCGGAUUGUUAAGUCAGGGGUGAAAUCCUGGAGCUCAACUCCAGAACUGCCUUUGAUACUGGCGAUCUUGAGUCCGGGAGAGGUGAGUGGAACUCCGAGUGUAGAGGUGAAAUUCGUAGAUAUUCGGAAGGACACCAGUGGCGAAGGCGGCUCACUGGCCCGGUACUGACGCUGAGGUGCGAAAGCGUGGGGAGCAAACAGG